UUUAUUUAUAAAAUUUACUGUUUGGACUGGUGUCACUGGCUUGCUGCUCGCGUCGCUGGCUUUCUCGAGCUCUCUCUCGCAUCUCGCUUCUUCGAGUUCUCUCUCUGGUGGCAUUUGCAGUCUUUCACUCAGCAAUUUCAUUUGCUUCUGAAUUUGAGAAAAGUCGCGAGAAUGAGGGAAGAGGUUAUCAGCUCCGGAGGCACCGUUGAUCCCACACCUGCUGCCAGGGUAACUGCACCGAAUCAUUUCCUUGUUAUUCCUUUGUCCCUCAUUCCAUUUAUGGAUAUCUUUGUCUCUAAUCUCCUCUUAUGCUGCUAUAAAAGAAAUGGAGCAGAAACAGGAUCGACCAAGGAUGACUGAGAUAUAGGUUGAGCUAAGAGAUGAGUUUAAAGUAGUAAUAAUUAACUAGAGGGGAAAAGAAAAUGUUGUCUCUUCUAAAGUUUGCUCCCCUCAUGCCAGUUUUUGUUGAGGGGUGGGAAGGAAUUAAAUUCUCCCUCACUUGUUUUGGAGCUUUAUGCUUUUGCAUGAGUAAAUGUGGAAGUCUUUCCCAACCUAUGUAGCACGGAUUCGGAUAUGACAUGGGGAUAUGACACGGACACGGGGAUAUGGCAAAAUAAAAAAACAUAGGGCA